rnacentral:lncRNA from 1 species
AAAGGAAAUGCAACAUCUUAAAAGCAUGGUAGGAAGUUUACCUUUGAUUUGAGCUGCUGGCCAUGCUUAACAGUUCGGUCUUCAACCGAGCUGAGUGAAUGAGAUUCAUUGACAUGGGGGGCCUUCUGAAACAUUGGAAAUGGGCAGAGGCUGAAAACUUUGGGUGUCAGACUGUGUUUGAAAUGGUGAUUUCCAUUUUUGAUUUGGUUCUCACAAUAUAGAUAAUGCAUUCAUAGAAAGUAAGUUACUUUAACUUGUUGGUAUCUUCCAAAGGUAAUUAGAAAUAGGAUGUUUGAUUUAGUAGGACUUUCUAAUUGUAUCUUGUUCUUUUUCCUCUUUCAAAAGACUUCCCAUAAAGGUCAAUGUCACACUUUUAUGCUUAUAACAUCAUGCGUUUUUAUAAUUCCGUCUUUUUGUUUACUCUAAAAUGUUACUCUUUUUACUUCCCAAAAUUAUUUUGAAGUGAUAACUAACUUGUUCGUCUGAGUCUUUGUAGGAAGGUAUGUACGCUCUUGUCAUGAAUAGAUCAAAAUGAGUCUUGUGGUCAUUACAGAUAAUGUUCUUCUAUGGCCUCUUUUCAUUUGAGCUCGUCGCAAUGGUAAAUAUUGGCCGAUAUUGUGGGGUUUUCCGCCAUAAUCUACUAUAACGUCUCCGCAAAGCGUCUUGUAUGGCGGGAUUUUGGCUCUCUAUUAUGGAGUGCCAUUCGCCAUGGAUAACAAUGGCUUCAAGGCAUUAGUUCCACAGUUGCGCGCGAGGGAUAGUUUGGUUUUCCAAAGAAAAAUAUAGUUUAUAAUAGAGUUAACCCUUGUCCUCUCUUCAAUUGCAGAAACAAUUUGUAAUAAACACCUUUUCCUAAAGAACUUGUUGCACAUGUUCAGUGAUUUUUACUAUUAAAUUCGAAGGAACUAAUUUCCGCCACCAAUAUAUACACGAAUGUUUGAAACAGGUGGAAGGGAAGACAGUGAAGGCACAAAUAUGGGACACUGCAGGUCAAGAGAGCAAUCACAAGUGCACAAACUCUCGGUACUUAAAUGGGUUAUUGAUAAUUUCAUACUGCAUAAACUCUCGUUACUUAAAUGAGUUAUUGAUAGUUUCAUACUGGACCAUAUGAAUUUGUUAAGGAACUUUAAGUUACUGAAUAUGAUUCCAUUUUGUAUGAAUUCCAAAAUCAUAUAUUCUGAUUUGUACAAAUUUGCUUUAGUGGUUUUUCUUCAAUGAAAUUACAGCAUUGCUACAGUUCAUUUAAAAUUAGCCAUCUUCUUCUUGUGUCUUCUAUAAGAAAAAUUUCACGGUUGACUCAAUAUAUCCUUGUUAUGGUUUUAUGGACAAUCUUUCUCAAUUAUUAUUAUUUGAUUGUGCAAUUGUGAAGUUGUUAUGAUCUGCUUGUGAUCAGUAUGUUCUUUUAUUUACCAAAUUUAUUUUGAAUUCAUAACUAACUUGAUCGUCGGAGUUUUUGCAGGUACCACACCUUUGGUGUGUCAUGCCAUGCUCAUGAGUAUGAUGAAACAGAAAGGAAAUGCAACAUCUUAAAAGCAUGGUAGGAAGUUUACCUUUGAUUUGAGCUGAUGGCCAUGCUUAACAGUCCGGUCUUCAACCGAGCUGAGUGAAUGAGAUUCAUUGACAUGGGGGGCCUUCUAAAACAUUGGAAAUGGGUAGAGGCUGAAAACUUUAGGUGCCAGGCUGUGUUUGAAGUGGGGAGUCAUGCCUCAAAUAUAAAUUCUGGUGUCCCUAGUGAAAGUUGAAGCAAAACAUUGGAAAUUUGAGUUGUUCUUCAUAAUGCCUAUUAAGCUCACGAGAUCUUGCGAAAGAAAUGGGAUAAGGUGUGUAGAGAAAAUAAAAGGCGGGGAGGGGACUAGGUAUAUAAAAUUUGAGAGCUUUUAACUUAGCUUUGGUUUGGUACUGGCUCUUGAGGUUGCAUGUAGAAAAACAAACUCAGUUUUUGAAAACCAGAAUUUCAUGUAUAUGGACCCAACAUAUUAUUCAAACAAGUUUAUUUGACAGUAAUAUAUAAGACAAUUAUUGCCCUUUUGUAAUUUGUACAAGUAAAGUGUAAACUUUGAAUUUUGUUUGAAAUCGUGAUUUCCGUUUUUGAUUUGGUUCUCACAAUAUAGANN